AGCUUAGCACAGUGGCAGUAUCUUAGCCAAUGAGGUUUAUCCGAGGCACGAUUAUGGCUAAUCAAAAG
rnacentral:snRNA from 1 species